AUUGCUUUACCCACAGAAAGUCUUUACACUGGAGGAAUGGAAAUGGGCAACUAAGAAAGCAGUAUUAUUUCCAUUUUGUAGAUGAAGAAAUUGAAGCUUAGAGAGCUCAAGUAACAGAGUUGGCAAACGCUCCCCAUAACAGGCAAGGCCCAGAAGCUUUUUUCCAGAGUGACUUAGUUGCUCGGUUGGAAGCCCAGCAGCAAAAGGUUUUGUGGGAACAUCAGCCUGGUGGGAGAGAAGUAGGCGAGUGGAAGAAGUGGGGACACAGCCAAAUCUUGCAAAUCAUGGAGCCGCGUGAAGGGUCCCCAGGCAGCUUCCUGGGCUAUCGUCUCUUGCCCUCCAGAGAAGAGCCAGGUCCAAAAGGAGGAGAGCAGGCGCUUUCUGGGAAGCUGACCAUGCUCCAUCCCCACCCCAACUAGAGAAAGUGCAGACCAUGGCCCCCUCUCCACCUUAGAGCCCCCAGCCAGGACACGACCUGAUGUUGGAGCAAGACAGAACACUGAAUCAGAGAGGUUCUGUCAUCUUUACUAUUUUUACAUAUAUUACUUCAAUAGUUUACCAUUUCUCCUGCUCUGGAACUGUACAGGUAAGCAGUCAAAUAAUUUAAAGAUCACAGUUUACUUGUAAAGAUUGCUUCGUUUGUUUUUAAUAGCAUGUGUUAUAUACUCAUAUUUUUCAUACAUUUAGGUGCACUCAUGCACCAAGUCACAUGCUCUCAUCUCUAUUUGACUGAUGAGGGUGUAUAUAUUUGAGUAUAAUACUGAAAGGCAAAUUUCUGCAAACUUGGGCUUCGGUUAUAAUAAAUCCAGGAUACUGGAUUUCCUUGAUUGGAAUAUGUGGGAAGGCUCUGUGGAGGUGGUGGGCUUUGACGUUAGUCAGAAGAAACUGAUAGACUUUAAUGAAAAAUAACUAUCUAGACAUAAGGCAGAGAGAGAGGGAGAGAAAUAGAGAUAGGCAGUGAGAGAGGUGAGCAUGUGAUUGUGAGUAGUUAAGGAGGCCUAGGCUAGAAGUAUAAGUAUUUUUACGUGGUUAAACUCAUACCUUAGGGAAGAGAUGGAAAAUGGGGUUCUUAUGUCAACCAAAAGCAACUGAUAGAGAGUAUCUUGAGUACUGUGUUGUAGAGGAUUCUGAAACUAAGUCAGAGCUCUAUAGAAAAGAAUGUUGUGAUGUCAGCCUUGGGCCCUAGAGGGACGAGUGUUUGCUUAUUUGUCAUAUAUUACCCUCAAUAAUUUCUAGGAAUCAAUUGACAGCUGUAAGGAAGUUCUCUAGAAAUAAAGCAAAUUAUGGGCAUCCAAAGGAAGAAAAAGAUGGUUCAUAAAAGAGGAGAGCUAAGUUAACCACACCACAGAGAAAAAUUUUUCCUAUGUUAUUAUUUUGCCUAAAUUGCCAAAUAUGUAUUCCUAAUAUUGGUGGUAUUUGUUGAUAGUACAAUCAGUAUUGCCCCUCAGACCCUGUUCUUCUCUUAUGGCUGAUAUUCUCUGUUAGUAAGAGCACAUUAGCCUCCUGUGCUCCAUCUCUCAGGCCUGUCUUGUGUCAGGGCGCUGUCUAGCAGGGGAAUGUUCUGCAUGUGAUAUGGGGUGGGAGACCUGGGCCAUUUCACAUUCAUUUUAAGUGGUUUCUCAGGGCUUGCCCUAGUUUAAGAUCUCUGAAAUGAGAGAUUUCUCUUUCACAACAGAUGGACAUAAACUUGAUGACAUUGUUCCUUUGUUAAAUUCUAAAAAUUAGACUCCUAUAUUCUUUUUACAGUUCAAAUUUUCUGACUGAGAAGGAAAUCCUAUGUCUAUGAGACUGUAGGAAUUGAUUUGAUAACUCAAGUUCUGGGUGUUUGAUAGGAGUUUACGCAGUUAUGAGACCAUUUUCAAAUUCAUAUUUUCCAUAGGAAAAUAAUUCCCUCUCAAAUAACUUUUUAAAGUGAUUGCUACAUGGAUUCUUAACAUUAUAUACGGGAUUUUUGUUUGUUUUGCUCUUUUAAAAUACAGUUUGUUCAUGGUGAAAUUAGCAUAUAGAAGAUAUUCCAGGGUAUGGUGAGAUGGAAAAUUACAUGUUUGGUUUCUUCUUCUAAAAACUAUAUUUGAAAAUAAUAUUUCAAAGGAAAUGAGUAUUUUUAGCCUCUUUUAAAUGCCAGUCUCUGUAAUUAUAUAAUUUAAGAAAAGAGCAUAUAGGAGAUUCCCAAUAAAUGUUUUUUAAAUCAAUGGAUGAAGAAUGAAUUGGCUUUGUCACUAGGAUUAGCCAUCCAAAUGUUGGACUUUUGUCUAGUAUUUCUGUGAUAGCUGAGAUUUGUUUUUUCCUUCUUGAUUCUCAUGAUGGUCAAGAGGUGCUAGCAGCAGCAGUGAGAAAAGAUGGCUGAAACACGGCCAUGGAUCUGAAAAGUUCUCCCAGAUUUUAUGGCUCCUGGGGUUGGUCCUAGAUAAUAAAUCUUAGGGGACACAGCUCAAAGUUUAAGGCAAGAUGAAAAACUUGUAGAAAACUCUUCACCUUUAAGCAAGGAUUAGAGAAACUCAGCAAGGGGGAUUACUUGUCCUGUCUUGGCAGCUAUAACGAGGCAAAUGGACAUUUUAAGACGCAGCUUGCCUGGCAGAAGUUAGUUAGCUUCAACAUGUGGUUUAAAAAUUAAAUAUCAAAUUUUACUUUGUAUCCUAAAGUAUUUGGAAGUUGAGGCUUAUGAAAUUUUUCUGAGACAGAGAGUAAAGAGGAAUGGUGGCAUAGCCUUGACGGUUUUGUAUAAACCAGGUGACAAUAUAAUUUAUCACACAAAGCAGGAUACUUCUGAGAAGGAAAAAGAUUGUUAUCGAUAAUUACACCUGGAAAACAGGUGUAAACUUAGACUUUCCCAGAAAAGCUGGACAUAUGGUCACCCUAUGUAUCACAGAUUGUUCUCAGAGUGUUGGGAAAAGAAAUACUAGAUUUGGCUUUUUCUUCCACAUUUCCAUGGAGAACACUCCCUUCAUGCACCCCAAUGAGUUACCUGUGGUUAAAACAUUGGGCACUUUUCAGUAGUAAUAUUUUUAAAUAGUGGCUCCCUAAUUUCCUGGAAUCAAGAUCCCUUUACAUUUAAAAAAAUUGUCAAGGAUCUCAAAACAUUUUAUUUAUGUAGGAUAUGUAUCUAUUGAUGUUUGCCAUAUUAGAAAUUAAAACAGAAUUUUUAAAAUAUUUUUUCAUACAUUUAAAAAUAACAGUUAGGCCUCUACUUCUGUAAAGAUGGAGUAGACAGACUUUCCCCCAUUCCUCCCACUAAGUACAACUAAAAACUCUGGCUGUUACGUGUAAAACAGACACAAGAGGACUGAAAGUCGAAAACAAGAAGACUGAGCAGCUAAGGACCUAAGGAAUGACAUUAUGAGUUUCCCGGGUUUUCUUUUUGCCUCAUAUAUCCCAGACUGUAGAUUAGAUACUGGAGAAGCCAGCAACUCAGGAAUGCCAAUGGACGCAGACAAAAAUACAAAACAAAACCUUAAGAGAAACCUUUUUUCCUUAGCCAAAGGACCAGAAAAGUGAUAUCCCAGCAAGAUAAAACAUUGACAAUAGUCAGUAGACAAUAACCAUUUUAUUCCAGCCAAACACCACAGAAAAAGUGUCUCCAACCUAGCCCUGCUAGGAAAGGUCAAGUGAAGAGCCUAGACUUCUGUUUUUGCCAGGAGGUAAGGAUGUGCCCCAAUCCUCCCACUCACUCUCUAUUACCCACCACCACCCUCACCGAGAUGGUAUCAAAGAAGGCUGAGUGUGGAGCAAGUCCUGACUUUCACUACUGUUCACCUCUAAUGAGGGCGCCCCAUCAAUGCAGACCACACAGGGAGCCUAGAUUUCCACCCCCACAUGAAAUAACAAGAUACCCUUCCCGCUCCCACAAGGGUGGUGUUAGAAUUUUCAUGGAAAGUCAGGACUUUCAUGACCGCCCAGCAGUAACAAGACCAUCCUCUCCCCAUCUGCCUGCCAAUGAAAGUGGAGGUUACUUACGGAGUAGUACUGAGGCGUUCCUCCCCCUGCCACUCAGGAGGUAUCAGCAGAGACCUAGUGGGGAGCCUGGAAAAAUGUUAACACCAGUAGACUUUGAUAAGUUAUGAAGGUAAUACCUAGAGCAACCCCCUCCCCCCCCAAAAAAACAGCUGUGCAAAGAGAUACACACAACAAGGUAGAGAAAUUAAAAUGGUACUCUAAAACACGUUCAAGUAACCUACAGGAAAGUAGGAAAAAUGAGUAAAGAAAGAACAGACAUAAGAAAAAAACCCCAAAAAAUAAAAUGGCAGACUUAAGUCAUAACAUACCAAUACAUUAAAUGUAAAUGGUCUAAAUACACAAGUUAAAAGAAAGAAAUUGGUAAUGUGGAUAAAAAAAGGCCCAAUUAUACCCUGUCUAUAAGAAACUCACUUCAGGGGCCGGCUCCGUGGCCGAGUGGUUAAGUUCGCACGCUCCACUGCGGCAGCCCAGGGUUCGGAUCCUGGGCACGGACAUGGCACCGCUCGUCAGGCUACGUUGAAGCGGCGUCCCACAUCCCACAACUAGAAGGACCUGCAACUAAGAUAUACAACUGUGUACAGGGUGGGGUUUGGGGAGAUAAAGCAGAAAAAAAAAAAAAAAAGAUUGGCAACAGUUGUUAACCCAGGUGCCAAUCUUUAAAAACAAAACAAAAAAAAAAGAAACUCACUUCAAAUAUAAUAAUAUAGAUCUCCCUGCUCCAAACCAGUUAUUCAUCCUGUGUCCCAUUCGCCCAAAGGGGCCAGCUGACAAAGCCUGAGAUGCUUUCAGGGUUAUUUGCAUUUUAGUGGGGGUCUCCUAAAGAAUGGAAAAUUUAAAACUCAAGUAAAUUAAUUUCUUUUUUUUUUUUUUUUUUUUGAGGAAGGUUAGCCCUGAGCUAACUACUGCCAGUCCUCCUCUUUUUGCUGAGGAAGCCUGGCGCUGAGCUAACAUCUGUGCCCAUCUUCCUCUACUUUAUAUGUGGGACACCUGCCACGGCAUGGCUUGAUGAGCGGUGUGCAGGUCUGCAACGGGGAUCUGAACUGGCGAACCCUGGGCUGCCGAGAAGCGGAACAUGUGAACUUCACUGCUGUGACACCCGGCCGGCCCCUCAGGUAAGUUAAUUUCUAAUGAUGAAAUUUCAAGCUGGUGGAGAAGAAGAUUUGGAACAAGGAGAAUCAGCCAACCCUACUCGCAUGCUGUAUACCCAAUUCAUUCCUUCUAGGAAUGCUUUUGCUCCUGCUCCCAUCCCAAUGAUCCUACAGAGUUGUCUAUCUAGCAAGGAAUAACAUAUCUGGAGGGAGAAUAGUGAAAUCUCUUUAAGGAAAAGAAAAUUUUUUGAGCUUUGAAAGAAUGGCAACAAUUUAAAAGGAAAACAUAGGAACAAUUUUGGCCCAUUUCAACGCAGAGUCAGAUUGGUUUAGGAUCAGCAUACUGUGGUAGUGGGAAUUUUAAGUCACGUACGUUUUGAGGAGCGUGUGUCCAUGUUCAAGUUCAGUAUGUUGGCAGGUCUCCUUCCACUUGGCAGACUAUUCAUCACACACAGAGGGGAAAAAGCCAGUGCAAAUCGCCAUGGGAAGUGUGGUCACCUAUUUGCAGGGAUGUGUGGGGAAUCAGCAGCCCAAUAGUCAUUUUACUUCAAAGAGACAUUGGAUAAGUAGGUGUACUGACCCUUUACUUUGUGCUUUGAUGACCACUAGUUAAAGCUUUUCUUCUCCAGACCCAGCAAGAGUACUCGGCAUUUUGUUGCCAAGUUUUUGGAGACCUCUGGUCAUUAAGCCUUCACUAGCAAUCUGUUCUAGCCCUGAAAGUUUACUCCCAUUGCAAAUAGAUUGUGACGUUAAUUGUCAACAUGCCUGGAUGAAGAAUGGGCCAUGUCCAUUCUUGUUGGAAAGAUUUGGGAAAUUUCCCUGAAAAUCGUGUAUCCUUUGGACUUAUUUCUCUAACUCUGAUUGGUCGUUCUUCCAAAUGUUGCCAAAUCUUCUAGAAAUGCUUUUCAACCUAUGUAAUUAAGGAGAUUAAAAGUGACAGCAUUUUUCUUGUUGAAUCAAUGAUGGGUUUUUAUUUUAUCACUUUUCAAAAGAUAUAAUAACCACCAUCUUUUGCAAGAACAAUAUCAGAAACAAUUAUAUGAUUAAAUCAAGGAGAAAAUCAAGCAGAGAAAAAUACCAAUAUAAUGUUAUGAUUAUAAUGGUUUCUGUUUUUAUUGUCUCACAUUCUUAACUUGGCAUCCAGAACUCCCAUAAAUCCAGCCCUAGUUUAUCUUUCUGGCGUCAUCUCCUAUUUCAUAACACAUAGUUUUUACUUUAGUUAAACUAAUUUAUUGGGUUUCUUUCAACUUUUUCACUUUUUUCUUCUCCUUAUCUUUCCAUAUGCUCUACCCAUUAUACUUUUGUAAUAUCAUCUCCAUUUCUGACCAGGUUAGGAAAUCCUUCCUCUUUCUAAGUGCUCAGAAAUAAUUCCCCUUCUUGGAUUCCACCGUUGAACACAAGCUUUUUCUCUUUUAAACUCCUUUGUUCUUACUCCAUGUAUUGAAGUGGGUUCAUUUUGUUAUCAAUAAUUGUGUGUAACCCGUUUCUUAGUGAAGAAUUGAAGCAAUGACUGUGAAAUACUCAAAGGAGUGUAGAUGGAGAAAAGAAGAAAUGGAUUUCUAGAACACAUCAAUGCAAAUAUUUAGAAUUAGCCCACAUCCUCCCCGUUUACUACAGGUUCUUUCUCUGCUUAGUGUGUGAACAAAUAUUCAGCUUUCUUCUAUCUCAAUGGACCACUUGAGUUAAUUGUUACGUAUUAAUCUUUUCUGUGUUCCUAAAGCAAAGACUUUCUACAGGUGAGUCCCAAACUGGUAAGUGAUAGGAUGCUCCUAUUCCUGGAAAAUUAAGUCUUGCUUUCCAAGUGUGCUUUUCUUUAAGAUACAAAUACAUGUUACAUGGGAACACGUGUGUGCUGACUCCAUUCACCCACACUACUGGGCCGUUUUGAUUAAUAAAAUAAGAUAAUGUAUCAUCAGAUUUCAUACAAACAGCUUUAUAUUUUUUUCCUUUAAUUUUUCUUCUUUCCCUCCACCUUCUUUUUCUUCCAUAAACUGAUUAAGGAGAAAAUAUUUUAUCUAUAGGGAUUUCUCUUUUAGGGUCACUGUGAUCUCAACUCCAGAUAGUCCUGACUUUGUGAAGUCACAAGUGCUAUGGUGAAGACUAAUUGUGAUGACGCUGGAUCACGGUAUCACUGAGCAAUGAAUGCAGCAGGCGGCCAGGGAAAGGAUUGGAGCAGGAGAGGAAAAGGCAACUUACCAUAAAGAUCAAAUGUUUAUUUCAGUUAGGUAAACAGCAGAAACAGGAAAAAAAUUACUCCUUCAUAAUGAACAGCUUUUUCUUUAUUAUAACAAAAAUAAUGCAGGCUUGUUGAAAGAUAAUUUAAUUAUAUCACCUGUUAUUCUUACCAUGGUUACCAUCUUGUCUAUCAUGCUAUAUGACAAAAAUUUAAUUAAAUUCUCCAUAUAGUUUCAAACUAUUUUUGUUAAUAUGUCACAAAUACACCAUAAUAUAGCAGGAACAUCUCAAUGUAUCAUUAAUGUCAGUAAAUAUGGAUGUUUGUAACAGCUGCAUAUGUCAUUAAAUGAACUAUAAACUAUGCUAUAAUUUAAGUAACUUGUGCUCUAUUUAUGCACACUAGUAUUUACUGACUCCAAUUUUUCUAUAUUUUAAACAAUUCUAAAAUGAACUUUUUAGGUACAUUUUGUUUAACUUGUCUAAUUGUUUCCUUAAGAUAAUUUCUAGAAAUUGACUUGAUCGGUCCCAGGAUGUGCACGUUUAAAUUUUGCUAUAUAUUUUACCAAAUUUCCCUUGAGAAAAGCAGGACUAAUUUCUUCCUGUGAACAGGGUUUGAGAGUAUCUUUCCUCUCCACACCUGAUGCCUACUAUAUUAUUAGUUUUUAAACUUUUGCCAAAAUGACUAAAAAACCUUGCCAUAUUUCUCUAUCUCAGCAUUUCUAUGAUUACAAAAGAACUUGAAUAUUUUUGUUUAUUAACAAUUUUUAUUUCUGUAUAUUAUUAUAUAUUGAACUAUGCG
rnacentral:lncRNA from 1 species